CUUAAUUUAUCAAUAUUAAUUUUAAUAUUUAUAAUUUUAAAUUAUUUCGUUAAGAAAAUGUCUAGAUUUUGAGAAUCUUUGAGAAGUUGCUGUAAUUGCUGUCAAAUUAAGGAAAUUCAUUGUUGACAAAAAUGAUAACAUAAUCUCUUUUCACUUUUGAUAGUGAUACAAAAAUAAACAGAAUUGCCGCCAAAGUUUACAAACAAACAUGUCGUACAUACAAGUUCAAAAACGCAUCCAACAUACCAUGUGAAAAAGAAUGGAUUGAGAAAGCUGAAUAUAUAAAUAGCAGAAUCAACAAACAAGACAUUAAGAGAAAGAUCAAGAAACUAGAUUUGGAAAGGGACUGAACAAGCAUCUUCUUUGUUUUUCCCAUUUGAAAUCAUUGUUUUCCAUUUCAAAUGGGUUUUUUAUUUGUUGUUGUUUUUUCCCAUUUAAAAUAUGGGUUUUUUUAUUUGUUAUUUUUUUCCCACUCAAAGUGGUUUUUUUUAAGAAUCAAUGAAGAAAUUUUUAAAAAUCUAGUUUAAUAUAUAUAAUAUAACUAGAUAAUAUGUGUUUGUAUUUCUUUUACUGUAUUUCUUUUACGUCCAUACAAGUAUCUUAUGUAACAGCGUAGUUAAAUUGUAAAAUUGUACUGGUUUACUUAAUAAAUAUAAUCUGCAUGGCUAUGCUCCGAACCAACCGGACAAAAUAACAUUGUCUACAUCAUUGGCUAAAAUGAUCUUUAACAUUGACGUCAACAUUCGCCAAAAUGAUAUUUAGAUAUCCAACAUUGGCGACAUCAUAGUCCAAAUGAUAUGAAACAUUAUUGUCGUCAUCAUUGGCAAAACUGAUAUUUAACAUUGUCGUCAUCAUUGUUCAAAAUGAUAUUCAACAUUGCCGACAUCAUUGUCAAAAAUGAUCUUUCACAUUGUCGUCAACAUUCGCCAAAAAUGAUAUUAAACAUUU